AACAAACGCUGGCGGCGUGCCUAAUACAUGCAAGUCGAACGGGGAAAGCUUUCGGGCGAGUACUAGUGGCGCACGGGUGAGGAACACGUGGAUAAUCUGCCUUGGAGAGGGGGAUAACUAGUCGAAAGAUUAGCUAAUACCGCAUAAGACCACAGGAACUGAGGUUCUAGGGGUCAAAGGUUUUUCGCUCCAAGAUGAGUCCGCGUAAGAUUAGCUAGUUGGUGAGGUAAUGGCUCACCAAGGCGACGAUCUUUAACUGGUCUGAGAGGAUGAUCAGUCACACUGGAACUGAGACACGGUCCAGACUCCUACGGGAGGCAGCAGUAGGGAAUAUUGCACAAUGGAGGAAACUCUGAUGCAGCGACGCCGCGUGAGUGAUGAAGGCCUUCGGGUCGUAAAGCUCUGUCGCAGGGGAAUAAAAAAAUGAAGGUACCCUGCAAGAAAGGAUCGGCUAACUUCGUGCCAGCCGCCGCCGUAA
rnacentral:rRNA from 1 species